rnacentral:lncRNA from 1 species
CUCCUCUCCGCCGCCCCCGGUGGUGCCCGGCGCUCCUCGGGGCGCUCCGCCGCUCCCGUCCGGCGACGCUCCGGGAGACGCCGAGGUCUCCUCUCGCCGUCCGGCUUAUCCCCGUCAGCGCUCGGCUCCUCGCGGCGGCGCGGGCAGCAGCCGGGUGACGGGGGUUAUUGGGGUUAUUGUCAUUAUCUCCCUCUUCCCCUGUGGUUCUGCGUCUCUCCACCACUUUCAGACCAGCCCAUUAUAACGCCGGCGAGAGGCGGAGCCAGGACGGAGAUCUGAAAGGGUGGUGGGUGGGGAAGCAAAGGUAGCAAAGGUGGGUAUGCCCUAAUAGCCGUAUCGGAGCCGCAAUUAGCCCAGAUGACAGCGAGGUCUGGUUGGAAAGUCUUAUUUAUUUAUUUAUUUAUUUAUUUAUUUUAUGAAACGCGAGUGUAUUUUCUCCUGCCGGCUGCCUCCUCCACGCCGGCCGCUCCGAGCGGAGCAGAUCUCCACGGGAUCCGGAGCUCCAGCCCCGCUCCAGGUGCAGCGUGCGGAGCGGCUCAUAGGUGGCAGAGCAGAACCUGCCGCGCCUCGAUCUGCGCUCUCGGCGCCGCGCAGAGCGGCUCGUUGCGAUGUAUGUGACAGCGCAACAACCUGUUGGAACACCGCGCCGCUCCGCAGCUGGGGAUCCCUCGUGGUUUGUGUGGGCCGACGGCCUCGGCCCCUCUCCCCUGCCGUCAUAACAAGGGUGCAGGGCGAGGUGGGAGCAGAUCUCAGAGCUCACCCAGUUUACAGCCAAGAGGAGUGAAGGGGAGAUGUCCUGCUGAAAUCUGUUUGGCAAGUCAGUAGCAACGCCGUCUGUAGAACUGAGCUCUUCAGAGUCUUCAUCCUGUGCUGUAUCCACUGAGGUAUCCCCUGCGAGGCCUAAUCAGAAGUGUUGUGCCAUUUAGCAACCGCUGCCGGAACUGGAAUCGUGCUGUCAUGAGUCUCAGAUAACUUACAGAGAGUGAGUUCUCAGAACUGCUGCCUGAAAUUGUAAAUGCCUACACAUGUUGUCACAUCAAGGGCUUGUCAUCAUCUCAACUCAAAGCAGGUGUUUGCAACACAUGAAGCAAUCACCUGGGAUACGCUAGAG